rnacentral:rRNA from 1 species
GCAGUCGAGCGGUAGCACAGAGGAGCUUGCUCCUUGGGUGACGAGCGGCGGACGGGUGAGUAAUGUCUGGGAAACUGCCUGAUGGAGGGGGAUAACUACUGGAAACGGUAGCUAAUACCGCAUAACCUCGCAAGAGCAAAGAGGGGGACCUUAGGGCCUCUCGCCAUCAGAUGUGCCCAGAUGGGAUUAGCUAGUAGGUGAGGUAAUGGCUCACCUAGGCGACGAUCCCUAGCUGGUCUGAGAGGAUGACCAGCCACACUGGAACUGAGACACGGUCCAGACUCCUACGGGAGGCAGCAGUGGGGAAUAUUGCACAAUGGGCGCAAGCCUGAUGCAGCCAUGCCGCGUGUGUGAAGAAGGCCUUCGGGUUGUAAAGCACUUUCAGCGAGGAGGAAGGCGGUAAGGUUAAUAACCUUAUCGAUUGACGUUACUCGCAGAAGAAGCACCGGCUAACUCCGUGCCAGCAGCCGCGGUAAUACGGAGGGUGCAAGCGUUAAUCGGAAUGACUGGGCGUAAAGCGCACGCAGGCGGUCUGUUAAGUUGGAUGUGAAAUCCCCGGGCUUAACCUGGGAACUGCAUUCAAAACUGACAGGCUAGAGUCUUGUAGAGGGGGGUAGAAUUCCAGGUGUAGCGGUGAAAUGCGUAGAG